GAUGAACGCUGGCGGCGUGCCUAAUACAUGCAAGUCGAGCGAACGGACGAGAAGCUUGCUUCUCUGAUGUUAGCGGCGGACGGGUGAGUAACACGUGGAUAACCUACCUAUAAGACUGGGAUAACUUCGGGAAACCGUAGCUAAUACCGGAUGAUAUUUUGAACCGCAUGGUUCAAAAGUGAAAGACGGUCUUGCUGUCACUUAUAGAUGGAUCCGCGCUGCAUUAGCUAGUAGGUAAGGUAACGGCUUACCAAGGCAACGAUGCAUAGCCGACCUGAGAGGGUGAUCGGCCACACUGGAACUGAGACACGGUCCAGACUCCUACGGGAGGCAGCAGUAGGGAAUCUUCCGCAAUGGGCGAAAGCCUGACGGAGCAACGCCGCGUGAGUGAUGAAGGUCUUCGGAUCGUAAAACUCUGUUAUUAGGGAAGAACAUAUGUGUAAGUAACUGUGCACAUCUUGACGGUACCUAAUCAGAAAGCCACGGCUAACUACGUG
rnacentral:rRNA from 1 species